rnacentral:rRNA from 1 species
CGUGUAGGCGGUUGGUCCAGUCGGAUGUGAAAGCCUGGGGCUCAGCCCCAGAAGUGCAUCCGAAACUAGCCAGCUAGAGCGCGAUAGAGGAGGGUGGAAUUCCUGGUGUAGCGGUGAAAUGCGUAGAUAUCAGGAGGAACACCGGCGGCGAAGGCGGCCCUCUGGAUCGUUGCUGACGCUGAGACGCGAAAGCGUGGGGAGCAAACAGGAUUAGAUACCCUGGUAGUCCACGCCUUAAACGAUGGGUACUAGGUGUUCGGGGUGUUGACCCCCUGAGUGCCGCAGUUAACGCAUUGAGUACCCCGCCUGGGGACUACGGCCGCAAGGUUAAA